rnacentral:rRNA from 1 species
UUGAACGCUGGCGGCAGGCCUAACACAUGCAAGUCGAACGGUAACAGGAAGCAGCUUGCUGCUUUGCUGACGAGUGGCGGACGGGUGAGUAAUGUCUGGGAAACUGCCCGAUGGAGGGGGAUAACUACUGGAAACGGUAGCUAAUACCGCAUAACGUCGCAAGACCAAAGAGGGGGACCUUAGGGCCUCUUGCCAUCGGAUGUGCCCAGAUGGGAUUAGCUAGUAGGUGGGGUAAUGGCUCACCUAGGCGACGAUCCCUAGCUGGUCUGAGAGGAUGACCAGCCACACUGGAACUGAGACACGGUCCAGACUCCUACGGGAGGCAGCAGUGGGGAAUAUUGCACAAUGGGCGCAAGCCUGAUGCAGCCAUGCCGCGUGUAUGAAUAAGGCCUUCGGGUUGUAAAGUACUUUCAGCGGGGAGGAAGGGAGUAAAGUUAAUACCUUUGCUCAUUGACGUUACCCGCAGAAGAAGCACCGGCUAACUCCGUGCCAGCAACCGCGGUAAUACGGAGGGUGCAAGCGUUAAUCGGAAUUACUGGGCGUAAAGCGCACGCAGGCGGUUUGUUAAGUCAGAUGUGAAAUCCCCGGGCUCAACCUGGGAACUGCAUCUGAUACUGGCAAGCUUGAGUCUCGUAGAGGGGGGUAGAAUUCCAGGUGUAGCUGUGAAAUGCGUAGAGAUCUGGAGGAAUACCGGUGGCGAAGGCGGCCCCCUGGACGAAGACUGACGCUCAGGUGCGAAAGCGUGGGGAGCAAACAGGAUUAGAUACCCUGGUAGUCCACGCCGUAAACGAUGUCGACUUGGAGGUUGUGCCCUUGAGGCGUGGCUUCCGGAGCUAACGCGUUAAGUCGACCGCCUGGGGAGUACGGCCGCAAGGUUAAAACUCAAAUGAAUUGACGGGGGCCCGCACAAGCGGUGGAGCAUGUGGUUUAAUUCGAUGCAACGCGAAGAACCUUACCUGGUCUUGACAUCCACGGAAGUUUUCAGAGAUGAGAAUGUGCCUUCGGGAACCGUGAGACAGGUGCUGCAUGGCUGUCGUCAGCUCGUGUUGUGAAAUGUUGGGUUAAGUCCCGCAACGAGCGCAACCCUUAUCCUUUGUUGCCAGCGGUCCGGCCGGGAACUCAAAGGAGACUGCCAGUGAUAAACUGGAGGAAGGUGGGGAUGACGUCAAGUCAUCAUGGCCCUUACGACCAGGGCUACACACGUGCUACAAUGGCGCAUACAAAGAGAAGCGACCUCGCGAGAGCAAGCGGACCUCAUAAAGUGCGUCGUAGUCCGGAUUGGAGUCUGCAACUCGACUCCAUGAAGUCGGAAUCGCUAGUAAUCGUGGAUCAGAAUGCCACGGUGAAUACGUUCCCGGGCCUUGUACACACCGCCCGUCACACCAUGGGAGUGGGUUGCAAAAGAAGUAGGUAGCUUAACCUUCGGGAGGGCGCUUACCACUUUGUGAUUCAUGACUGGGGUG